GACGAACGCUGGCGGCGUGCUUAACACAUGCAAGUCGAGCGGUAAGGCCCUUUCGGGGGUACACGAGCGGCGAACGGGUGAGUAACACGUGGGUGACCUGCCCUCAGCUCUGGGAUAAGCCUGGGAAACUGGGUCUAAUACCGGAUAUGACCCCAUGACGCAUGUCGUGGGGUGGAAAGCCUUGUGCGGCUGAGGAUGGGCCCGCGGCCUAUCAGCUUGUUGGUGGGGUGAUGGCCUACCAAGGCGACGACGGGUAGCCGGCCUGAGAGGGCGACCGGCCACACUGGGACUGAGACACGGCCCAGACUCCUACGGGAGGCAGCAGUGGGGAAGUCUUGCGCAAUGGGCGAAAGCCUGACGCAGCGACGCCGCGUGAGGGAUGACGGCCU
rnacentral:rRNA from 1 species